GGCAGCUCACGUCGCUGGAGGUGUUGUACCUCGACCACAAUCGGCUGGCGAGCAUGCCGGCGGAGAUCGGGCGGCUCACGUCGCUGACGACGUUGUUCCUCAGCAGCAAUCGGCUGACGAGCGUGCCGGCGGAGAUCGGGCAGCUCACGUCGCUGAAGGGGUUGCACCUCAGCCGCAAUCAGCUGACGAGCGUGCCGGCUGCGAUACGCGACCUCAGAGCGGCGGGCUGCCGCGUGCAUCUGGAUGACUGCGUGACGGUGGACGACGAGGGUGACGUCGGAGCGCUCCGGACAUGGCGUGCGAUGUGCCCCGAACUGCAGGGGAUGUGGCCGGAGGACGAGCAACCGGAGGAUUGGGAAGGGGUGAGGAUGGAAAACGGCCGGGUGGUGAAGCUCGAGUUG
rnacentral:lncRNA from 1 species